UGGAGCCAGUGGGCUAGUUUGAGUUGAUCCUUCUCAUAGUAAAUGGUAGAACAAAAGGGCAAACUGUAGUAGGCAAUGCCACCUCAGAACUUUGCUAGAAGCACAUUUGCUAAUAUCUCAAAUACUGUUGCCAAAUAUGACUCAGUUGAAUCAACAGUAACUUUGCCCAGGAUGGGAGGAUCCUGUAAAGUCACGUGGCAAAGCGUGUGGUACAGAAGGAGUGAGAAAGCGAGACUAUUAAUGCAAUCUAUUACGGGUCUUUAUCAGAAUAUGAGCAAUCCCAAGAGCACCGGGCCGGCCCAGUCUGCCCUUGCUCUAGGGAAAGCAAGCAGCCGUGCUGUGACUACCACUAUAAAGAUGCCCAUUUAGCCAGGAAUUGUCUCUGGCCACCUGUCAGUGAGGACCUGAGUCCUGACCACAGUCACAUGAGUGAGUCUGGAAGUGGAUCCUUCCCUAGUCAAGACUUGAGGGUUAAAUGGGCUUAUUAAUAGAGGUAAAACAUGUAGAACAAUUUUGGCAACUAGUAAAAGCUUAAUACACUCUACCAGUAUUAUUUCUGAGCUCAUCUUUCCAUAUCUGUUAAAUGGGGGCAAUAAUAUCUAUUUCAUAGGAUUGUUGUAAGUAUUAAAUGAAGUAAUGUCUUGGUAAGCAUUUAGGGAAUAGUCAUUACUGUUAUCCUAACAGUUUAACUACUGUUUUUUUUUUUUUUUAAAGAUUUUAUUUUUAAGUCCUCCCCACACCCAAUCUGGGGCUCCAAGCCACAACCCCGAGAUCAACAGUCACAUGUUUUACCAACUGAGCCCAGCCAGGUGCUCCUAACUGCUGUUUUUUUUAAAAAUAGGAAUUGAAUUUUGUUCACCUUUGGAUCCCCUAAUACAACAGAAUAUAUAGGUAACUAAUACUUUCAAAUUAAUUGACAAAUUUCAUGGGUCUUCAUAUACAUCAAAAACAAAAACAAAAACCAAGCUUCAUAGACUUAGAUAAAUCAUUUAAAUUUUGUGUUUUUAUCUACUAAGUGAUGGCACUAGACUUAUUCUUUCUGAUCUUCAAGCUUCAUUCAUUCAUUCAUUCAUUCAUUCACUUGUGCAUUUGUUGGAUAAAUAUUUACAGGAUCCCAACUGUAUGUCAUUCUCUGUGCUUGAUGUUGAAAGUCAGUUAUAAGCAAAACACAUGCGGCCUGUCCUCUCAUAAAGUUUACAGUCUAAUGGGAGGAAGAGGUAAAAUAAAGAAUUGCACAUAAAUCUACAAUUAAAAACUGUAAUACAAUCCAUGAAAGAAAGGUUCAGGGAGGCAUGAGAAAUGUUAGAGUGAGAACUGGGCCCA
rnacentral:lncRNA from 1 species